CCAGGAUUCUCCCAGUAACGGCGAGUGAACGGAGAUUAGCCCAUCACCGAAGCCCAUCUGCUUUUGCGGACAGGGCAAUGUGGUGUUAGGGCGUGUACCUGGGGUCGCUGUUGUGCUCGAAGUCCGACUUCGAUUACGGCUUGGAAGAUUCCCAUAGCGGGUGAAAGGCCCGUGCGGGUGCUUCUAGCGGCUCUCAGACGUGCGCGCCUACGAGUCGGAUUGCUUGAGAAUGCAGUCCAAAGUGGGUGGUAAACUCCAUCCAAGGCUAAAUACUGGCAUGAGUCCGAUAGUAGACAAGUACCGUGAGGGAAAGUUGAAAAGUACUCUGAAGAGAGAGUAAAUAGUACGUGAAGCCGCUUGCAGGGAAGCUGGUGGAGUCAAGCUUCAUGCCCUUUCAAUUGUUGUCAGAGGACCUCGUGCUCUGGACGGAGUCGGUCGAACUGUAAACGUUCGGAUACAUCAGUGUAUCUCGAGGCGCACCAGGUAGUGUGCUCGUGCCGACUCUAUAUCCUUUCCUCUGGCAGUGUAUUGGUUGGGCAUAAAUCACGAUGGACAGUCGUCGUGCUGUGUGAUGGUCUAACUGCGUCGUGGCGGGCUUCAUCGCUUGCUCGGCGCAGGACGGCAGGUAGCGGGUGUAGCCUCGUGUUGCACUCGCCUAUAAUGGUCUCGACCUGCUGAUCAUCACGCUAUGCAGUAUCGACAUUGUCUUUUCUUCUAGGUGCUCUGUCCAUGGACCGAGUGCCAUAAGAGUCG
rnacentral:rRNA from 1 species